UGACCCUGGUCACUACAACUCCAGUAGGCUCUCUUUCUUUCUCUUUCUCAUUCACACACACUCUCUCUCUCCCUCUCUCUCUUUUAUUGCCAUCCCUUGAUGUUAAACAGGACGUCUCCAUGGAUACAGGAAUAAACAGAUGAUAACAAGCCCUCAGCCUUUAAAGCCCAUUUCAGAAGGGAGUAACAGAAGAGACAGAGAAAGAGAGAGAGAGCAGGACGGGACAGAAGCUGUGCAGACCUGGAAGCGUGUGUGCAUGUGUGUGGAUUGCCAGCAGCUGGAAGUCAGUAGCACAGAAUACCCAAUAUGGCAGAAAGCACAGAAAUGGACGAGCUUCUGAGCACCUUUAAGAAGUUUGCUAUUCAUGGUGACACCAAAGCCACCGGAAAGGAGAUGAAUGGGAAAAACUGGGCUAAACUGUGCAAAGACUGCAAAGUUAUUGACAGCAAGAAUGUCACCGGCACUGAUGUAGAUAUUGUCUUCACAAAAGUCAAAGCAAAGACAUCUCGGGUCAUAACAUAUGAGGAGUUCCAGAAAGCUUUAGAAGAAUUGGCCCCAAAGAGGUUUAAAAAUCAAAGCAAAGAUGAAGCACUGCAGUCUAUGCAUAAGCUAAUUGAGGGCAAAGAACCCACCAACGUUGGUGUAACGAAAGUGGCAAAAACUGGUGCAGUGGACCGGUUAACUGACACAUCUAAAUAUACAGGCUCACACAAGGAGCGCUUUGAUGAGAGUGGGAAAGGCAAAGGAAAAGGUGGGCGGGAGGAGAUCGUGGAGCACACGGGCUACGUAGGAGCCUACAAGAACGCUGGGACUUACGAUGAGAAGACGAAGGCCAAGUAAGGCCACACUGUCUCCAAAAAGCUCUAAGCUUCUUCUUCAUCAGCACUUAGGUCUGGACCAAAGCCAAACUUGAACUUUGACCUGUAAAAUCACACAGCCACUAUGCAGUGUAACACAGGAAGUGUUGUAAAUGUUUGUCUUCAAGGAUAAAGAACAUAGUAUUACAGUCGGUUUUCGUUAGAAAGUUGACAGAAGGGUAAGAGAGGAACUGGUGAGGACUGUUCUCACUCCUUUCAUUCAAACCAGCCCCUGCUGUAUGUAGGAUUUCAGGUGAAAAUCUCAAAGAGCAAGCAUAAAGACCGCUCCUCGGGUAGUGUAUUUGUUUCAGUUUUUAUGUUGCUGUAAAGAUGCAUCUGAACAUCACAAUGCCUCAGAGAGGGAGAAGCAAAAACACAGGAAGCCCUUUAAGAGAUUGACUUCUUCCAACAGAUGCUCUUCCAUAAUUGCUGUCAUUAAAUUCUAACAAUAUUGAUUGCUACAACUUAAAUGUCAUUCUUCAAAGGGUAAUGGUGAACCAGCUUUAUGUGUGUAUUAGCUACCCUUCUGUUAUUAUUUCCAAAAAUUAAUUGUCAUAUCUUUGUUUUAGUUAACUUACUGUGUUACCAAAACUGGAAACUGCCUUUGUAUGAAUCAUUACUAAUAACAGCAAACCCUGCCAAGGCACUAAAACAGACAACACAAAAUAUUGUGUUUGUGCACACUGUGAAAAAAAAAAAAGUUGUUUUAACUUAAAAUAACGUGUUACCGUGCUGAUUUAAAUUUUUUAGUUUAGUCAAGUAAAAUAUUCCAGUUGCCACUUAAAUUAACAUUAAAUAACUUAAAAUUUUAAACUGACUAAACAUUUUAAGUGUAAUUACUAUUAGGCUAUGUAUCACGACUUUAACUACUAGUUUCAAAAUAAAGUUGAAAUAGGUUAUGGCUGCACAUUCUACAGCAUGCUUAAACACAUGCAUGCUUAAUAUACUAAGGAUUUCAACUAGGAGUCCAUGAAUUGGUGAAUCGGGGAUGCUAAGCCAAGUAAAAAAAAUUACAUUGUCCUGGUUUUGUACCUUUUUUGCCUUGUUUAGCACUCUGCACAUAAAAUGAAAUUCUUUGUACCUGCCUGUGCUUCCUCUCAUAAACCUAACAAAAAUGUGCCACUGCAACCAUAGUAACCUCCAAAAACACAGUAGUUACUACAAUUAUACUGCCGUAAAACUGUGGUUAAAAACAACAACACACCAAAUCCUUAAUAACUGCCAUAUAUUUAGCAUUACACACAGUGUGUGCACAAAACACCGGUCCAUAUGUCCAAAGUCUCCCCUGAGGGACAGACAGGACGCCGACGCCGGUCCCCUCUGUUGCCACGGCAACUGCACCAUACACAAACACAACAGCCCAGCCCGGGCCGGCACCUGGCUCCGGCAGCCUUUCCCUGCCCUCUGUGUGUUUGUAACCAAACACACUCGUUCAUGGCAACGUUUGUUUGGUUCAUCUCCUUGGAAGCGUUUAAUCAAAAACAUCUCGCUCUAUUCCAGCUCGAGCCUUUGUUGCUCCUGUCACACGGUGAUGAAUGGCAUCGCACAGCAGCGUCGCAAUCGCCUUUAGUCAACUUAUGCGCUCGCCGUGCGCUGUAAUCAACCGGCUGAUUAAUUGCCUGUUAACAUGAGUUGCAGAGCCCGACAGGCUUGACUGGCGCUGUUGAUUUAAUGUGCCGCACAUGCAGACGGAUGACUGCAGCGCGCUUGAGAAGGAACUCGAGUCCUACCGGCGCGCGCGGAGUGCCUCUAGGGGGAGGUACGAGACGCGAUUAUGUAAUGUUAAAAUCUACCUUUACACUAUAUAAAAAGCCAUUUUAAUGGCUGGUUACAUGUUUUAUUUCUCAUUUAUGGUCUGUAUGCAAUUUGAAUACAGCUUUGUGCGUCUAAUCACGCGCGUAGUCCAGGUUAUUACGUCAGCUUUGUCUGGUUCUUGAUUUGAAACCUAACGCUUGAGAACCAUUAGAUUAGAUUUACUCUGGAUAUUAACAAAUCAACCUAGUGGAACGAUAAAAGACAUACAUUGCCGUUCAAAAGUUUGGGACCAGUAAGAUUUUUAAAUGCUUGUUUUUUCCCCUUAUGUUUUUUUUUUUUUUUUUU